AUUGAACGCUGGCGGCAGGCUUAACACAUGCAAGUCGAGCGGAGAUGAGGUGCUUGCACCUUAUCUUAGCGGCGGACGGGUGAGUAAUGCUUAGGAAUCUGACUAUUAGUGGGGGACAACAUUCCGAAAGGAAUGCUAAUACCGCAUACGUCCUACGGGAGAAAGCAGGGGAUCUUCGGACCUUGCGCUAAUAGAUGAGCCUAAGUCGGAUUAGCUAGUUGGUGGGGUAAAGGCCUACCAAGGAGACGAUCUGUAGCGGGUCUGAGAGGAUGAUCCGCCACACUGGGACUGAGACACGGCCCAGACUCCUACGGGAGGCAGCAGUGGGGAAUAUUGGACAAUGGGGGGAACCCUGAUCCAGCCAUGCCGCGUGUGUGAAGAAGGCCUUAUGGUUGUAAAGCACUUUAAGCGAGGAGGAGGCUACUGAGACUAAUACUCUUGGAUAGUGGACGUUACUCGCAGAAUAAGCACCGGCUAACUCUGUGCCAGCAGCCGCGGUAAAAC
rnacentral:rRNA from 1 species